rnacentral:rRNA from 1 species
GUGGGGAAUAUUGGACAAUGGGGGGAACCCUGAUCCAGCCAUGCCGCGUGUGUGAAGAAGGCCUUCGGGUUGUAAAGCACUUUUGUCCGGGAAGAAAUCUUCCAGGUUAAUACCCUGGGAGGCUGACGGUACCGGAAGAAUAAGCACCGGCUAACUUCGUGCCAGCAGCCGCGGUAAUACGCAGGGUGCAAGCGUUACUCGGAAUUACUGGGCGUAAAGCGUGCGUAGGGGGUUCGUUAAGUCUGCCGUGAAAGCCCCGGGAUCAACCUGGGAAUGGCGGUGGAUACUGGCGGGCUAGAGUGCGGUAGAGGGUGGUGGAAUUCCCGGUGUAGCAGUGAAAUGCGUAGAGAUCGGGAGGAACAUCUGUGGCGAAGGCGGCCACCUGGACCAGCACUGACACUGAGGCACGAAAGCGUGGGGAGCAAACAGGAUUAGAUACCCUAGUAGUCC